UACGAAGGGGGCUAGCGUUGUUCGGAAUCACUGGGCGUAAAGGGCGCGUAGGCGGCCGAUCAAGUCGGGGGUGAAAGCCUGCGGCUCAACCACAGAAUUGCCUUCGAUACUGUUUGGCUUGAGACCGGAAGAGGUAAGUGGAGCUGCGAGUGUAGAGGUGAAAUUCGUAGAUAUUCGCAAGAACACCAGUGGCGAAGGCGGCUUACUGGUCCGGUUCUGACGCUGAGGCGCGAAAGCGUGGGGAGCAAACAGG
rnacentral:rRNA from 1 species